rfam:Hordeum vulgare subsp. vulgare, WGS project CAJW01000000 data, contig: morex_contig_2019148
GCCACUGCCCGACGACGAGCUGAUCUCCUACAUCGUCAACGCCCUCGACAUGGAGUAUCAACCACUUGUAUCUGCCCUCGAUGCACACACUGUCCCUGUCACCCUUGAUGAACUGUUUGCGCAGAUGAGCAACUUUGAUC